AUACGUAGGUGGCGAGCGUUAUCCGGAUUUAUUGGGCGUAAAGGGUGCGUAGGCGGCGAAUUAAGUCUAAAUUGAAAGCGUGGGGCUCAACUCCAUGAUGGUUUAGAAACUGGUUUGCUGGAGUGCAGGAGAGGUUAGCGGAAUUCCAUGUGUAGCGGUAAAAUGCGUAGAUAUAUGGAGGAACACCAGUGGCGAAGGCGGCUAACUGGCCUGUAACUGACGCUGAGGCACGAAAGCGUGGGGAGCGAAUAGGAUUAGAUACCCUAGUAGUCCACGCUGUAAACGAUGGAUACUAAGUGUUGGGGUGACCCAGUGCUGUAGUUAACGCAGUAAGUAUCCCGCCUGGGGAGUAUGCACGCAAGUGUGAA
rnacentral:rRNA from 1 species